rnacentral:rRNA from 1 species
CCUACGGGAGGCAGCAGUAAGGAAUAUUGGACAAUGCUCGCAAGAGUGAUCCAGCCAUGCCGCGUGCAGGAAGAAUGCCCUAUGGGUAGUAAACCGCUUUUGAACUAGAGAAAACCCCAGUACGUGUACUGGGCUGAUAGUAUAGUUAGAAUAAGCAUCGGCUAACUUCGUGCCAGCAGCCGCGGUAAGACGAAGGAUGCAAGCGUUAUCCGGAUUCAUUGGGUUUAAAGGGAGCGUAGGUGGACUGAUAAGUCAGUGGUGAAAUCUCCGAGCUUAACUCGGAAAUUGCCAUUGAUACUGUUGGUCUUGAGUACAGUUGCUGUGGGCGGAAUAUGACAUGUAGUGGUGAAAUACAUAGAGAUGUCAUAGAACACCGAUUGCGAAGGCAGCUCACAAAGCUGUAACUGACACUGAGGCUCGAAAGUGCGGGGAUCAAACAGGAUUAGAUACCCUGGUAGUCCGCACCGUAAACGAUGAUUACUCGCUGCUAGGGGGCAACCUUUAGUGGCUUAGCGAAAGCGAUAAGUAAUCCACCUGGGGAGUACGCCGGCACGGUGAAACUUAAAUGAAUUGACGGNNGAGAGNGCGAGGACGACACGAGGGAGGAG